UACGUAGGGCGCAAGCGUUAUCCGGAUUUAUUGGGCGUAAAGGGCUAGUAGGCGGUUUGUCGCGUCUGCCGUGAAAGCCCGGGGCUUAACCCCGGAUCUGCGGUGGGUACGGGCAGACUAGAGUGCAGUAGGGGAGACUGGAAUUCCUGGUGUAGCGGUGAAAUGCGCAGAUAUCAGGAGGAACACCGAUGGCGAAGGCAGGUCUCUGGGCUGUAACUGACGCUGAGGAGCGAAAGCAUGGGGAGCGAACAGG
rnacentral:rRNA from 1 species